GUAAAUCAGUGUAAAUAUUACCCUAAUAUUCGACUACGGAUCAGGAGGUUUGGGGUUCGAAUCCCUAUGGGUGCGCCA
rnacentral:tRNA from 1 species